rnacentral:rRNA from 1 species
CCUACGGGAGGCAGCAGUGAGGAAUAUUGGUCAAUGGGCGCGAGCCUGAACCAGCCAAGUAGCGUGAAGGAUGACUGCCCUACGGGUUGUAAACUUCUUUUAUAAAGGAAUAAAGUGAGGCACGUGUGCCUUUCUGUAUGUACCUUAUGAAUAAGGAUCGGCUAACUCCGUGCCAGCAGCCGCGGUAAUACGGAGGAUCCGAGCGUUAUCCGGAUUUAUUGGGUUUAAAGGGAGCGUAGGCGGGUUGUUAAGGCAGGUGUGAAAUUUUGCGGCUCCACCCUAAAAUUGCAAUUGAUACUGGCAGUCGUGAGUACAGUGGAGGUAGGCGGAAUGCGUGGUGUAGCGGUGAAAUGCUUAGAUAUCACGAAGAACUCCGAUUGCGAAGGCAGCUUACUAAACUGCCACUGACAUUGAUGCUCGAAAGUGUGGGGAUCGAACAGGAUUAGAUACCCUUGUAGUC